rnacentral:lncRNA from 1 species
CUUUUUUAUUCUAUAGCAACACAAAAGUCCAAUCGAAUAAAUAAAAAGUUCAAAUCAAUCACCGCUAGCUGGAUUAGCAAAGGCACAAGAGGCUCCACGCUCCAUUCAACCUACCCAUCAACAUGGCUGAUACAAAGCUGCAGUGCUGGAAGCCCGCAUGCCUAUUUAGAGCUGCUAUGACUUGACAUGGAUCUCAAGUGCUGGCGGCCGGACGCAGCAGCUGACCAGACGCAUGCAGUAGCCGCCCCCCCCACCGGACACAGCGGCCAGCAGAACAUGCCUCUCGAAGAUCCGUGGACUUGCGGCCAACACCGGCGAUGGUGGUGUGGGGCUGCUGCCGCGUAGUCGUUGGCCGAGAUACGCCGCCGGAUGUUGCUGCGUGAAGACGGGUGGGGGCUCCGGAGGAGCAAAGAGGCUGACCCAGAGAGAAAGGGAAAGGAG